CUCGAGUGUCGCGUGUUCACGGGUGACGUCAGGACAGUGUUGUGGUUGUGGUGGUCCAGCUGGUGUGGUGCUUCAUGGGGCGCUCCUGACUCGCUGUUUCCUGACCCACCAUGUCCCAGGAGUCCAGAUAGCACCUGCAGUGUAGGAGAUGUGGUGGGGAGGCUCAGAGGAAGAGCAGGUGGGGGACCCCCCACCUGCAGACACCGAGCCAGAAGCAAGCACAUCUACUGAGGACCCACUUGUGGUUAAACAGGAGCUAGGAGACCUCAAGGAGCAGUUUAACCAGCAACAAGCCUUGAUUGGUCACCUGAAGACCAUGCUGAAGGACAAGGAUGCCUCCCUUUCAUCAAGAGAAAAGGAAGUGGAGGACCUCGCAGUCAGGUUGGCUAAAAUGAAACCUCGACUUGAGAGAGGUGAUGCUAAGAAGAAAACUGUUCAGCACUCAGAUAAAGGAGAGCAACAAGAAGCAGUAGGAGGUAUGGUGCUGCCCAAGCAAAGAUUAGAGGCAGGGGUUAAAAGUGGAGGUGAGGAGAAAUCAGUAGAGAAGAGGUUGCCAUCAUCUGAAAGUAGUAGCAGAGCAAAGAUUCUGCUUCUCAGAAAACAGCUCGAAGAAAACAGACAGAAAUUUGAGCGUCAACAAAAAGAUAAUGCAGAAAAACGAGCAACUAUGGAGGAGAUGAAACAAAGGAUAGAUAAGCUACGAUCAGAAGUUGAACAGCGAGACAGUCUUAUCCAUUCCCUUCAGGAAGGAAGCAGCUCUAUGACAGAUGAAACAAUGACACAAAAACUCUUGCAGCAAAUCCUGUACAAAGACAAUACUCUUCUUGAACUCACACAAAAGGUGGAACGUUUGGAAGAAGUAAUCCAGGAACAACGAGAAUCUUUAAAUGAAAAGGAUAGACUGAUAGAGUCAAGAACUGAAGCAGUGACAUUGGUUGCAAAGGCUGAGAAUGAGAAAAACUUAAAGACCUUACAAGAACUGGAAGAAGUUAGAUAUCAAAUGAAAAAGAUGCAGGAGGAAUUUAUUGCAAAAGAAGAGACUUUUGUGAAUGAGAAAGAAGCUCUAACUAGGGAGAUUAAAGAAAAAACUAAGAAAGUCAAACAGCUUGAAGACAAUGGGCGUCGACUUGAAAACCUUAGAUUUGAGCUCAGUACCCGUAAUGCUGAACUUCAAGAAAAGAUUGUGACAAUGCAGGCAGACAUUAAAUCACUUAAAAGUCAGGCAGAAAUGGACAGAAAUAAUUCUGAAGAAAAAGAUGCUUUUGUGCAAGAUUUAAAGCAAAAAUUAGUUAAAGCAGAAGCUCAUGGUCAGAAAAAGCUCAGAGCACUGGAAAAACAACUUAAAAGCUUAAAAUUGGAUGGUAAAUCUGGUGAGCAAAUACUGGAGCUGCAAAAUUCAAUUGCUGAACUAGAAGAGGAGAAAGGAAAUUUACAGCUAAAGCUGGUUGACUUUGAUGACUUAAAGGCUGCCAAUGAAAAAUUGAUCCUUCAAAGAAACAAGCUUGAGGAACAAAUAAAACAGCAGAACAAUGACCUAGAUUCACAACUUAGUGCAAUUACCUUGCUGGAAACUGAAAAAAUUAAACUAGUUGAGGGGACAAAUGAACGUGAAAAUCGCAUCUUUGAUCUUGAAACUGAAUUAGCAGCCACAAAACAUAGCUUAACAGAAAGUAAUCAGGCAAUGGUUACUCUUGAGUUGAAACUUUGUGAAAUUGAAGAACAGAGAGAUGUGGCUGAAAAAGGAAAAGCAGAAUUGGAAAGCCAGAUGUCAGAGUCAAACAUCAUUUCUAAUGAUCAACUCAAGGCUGAAAAGGCCAGCUUGGAAGAAAAAAUUCUGAGUAUUUUGAAAGAAAGAGAUGAAUGGCAAGAAAAGUUUUCUGAUCAGAUUGCUACUGUUGAAGAGUGUAAAGAAAGAGCAAAAAGUGCUAUGCAGGAAAUGGAAGAGAAAAGUAAAGAAUGCAAACGUCUUAUGAACAUUCUUACUGACAAAGAGAAUACUAUUACAACCAUGUCUAUAAGGAUAGACAAACAUGACUCAGUCAUUGCUGGUAUUGAAGAAAAAUUAUCAACAUCCAUAAAAGAAAGGGAUGAGAAAAAAGUAGAGUUAGAAGAAAUUAAUAUAGUGCUAAUGAAAGAAAGAGAAAUUAUAGAAGAAUUAAAGUCACAGCUUGUUGCAAAAUCCACUGAACUUACUUCUAAGGAAGAGGAGUUAAUGACAGUCAGGCAAAGUGUUGAAACCCUGAACAGAACAGUAAAUGAAAGAAAUAUAAGCGUACAGAAUCUAGUUGGAGAAGUUUCUUCUUUACAAGAUGAAGUUAAUGCAAAGGAUAAAUCUAUAAAUGAUUAUAUUGAUAAACUUGAAGAACUAGAAACUCAUUUACUUCAGCAAGACACCAGGAUAGAAGAACUUCAUUCCUUAUGCACACAGACAGAACAGCAGCUGAAUGAGGAAAACAAAGAAUGUGUAAAAUUAAGAAAUGAACUCACCAAUUUAUCUCAGAAAUAUGAAACAACAAAGUCUUCUCUAGAAUCUGAAUUAAAUGUUAUGGUAUCAAUGAUGAAUGACUACAAAAACCAGAUAGAAGCUACUGAUGCAGAAAUAAAAGUAAAGGAAAAAGAAAUACAGAAUAAUCAGACUGUAAUUUCCAAGUAUGAAGAAGAAAUUUGUUCCAAAAACUUGUUAAUAGAUGAGAUUGAGGCCAAGAAUAGAUCCUUGCAACAAAACCUUGGUGAACUAAGCAUGGCUCUAUCAGAAAAGGAAACUUAUGUAUCAAAAAUGCAGACUGAAAUGGAAGAACAUACAGCUCAUAUUGAAAGUUUAAAUGAGCAGAAUGCAAACUUGGAAAAGAGACUGAUGGUAUUGCAAGAAGAAAAGUCACAAUUAACACAAAUAAAAGACAGUCUUCAAGAAGAAGUAAAUGAAACCAAAUCCAUAGUGCAUCAAAAGGAAGAGAACUUACUUCACUUAAACACAGAAAUAGCAAGCAAAUCUCAUGAAUUAAUGAAUGAAGUUGACUUUCUUAAAGUAGCACUAGAGGGAAAAGUUCAGGAAAUUGCAACACUGCAAAACUCAGUUGGAAGCCUUACAGCUGACUUGGCGACAAGAACAUCAGAGGUAGAGAAGUGGCAGACCGAAGCCUUAGAAAAGAGUAACCAUCUGGCUGAGGUGACACAUGCAUUAGACUCUGCUCGUCUCGAGAUACAAGGAAAAGAUUCAACAUUGAGUGAAUUGUACACUUGUAUGGAACAGAACAAGGAAAAUCUUGCACUUGCUGAAGAACAGAGAAAUCAUGCACAAAGGCAGCUAUGUGAACUUCAGGAAAGCUUUAAAGUCAAAGAAAGGGAACUUAUAGAAACUCAGAAUGAGCUAAGUGAGACUCAAACAGCACUGACAGAGGCAAGGCAACAUUUUGAAAAGUCACAAGAAGUACUGACUGCUGUCCAGACUGAGCUACAGGAAACACAAGGUCAGUGUCAGAAUAAUUCCUCAGUAAUAUCCCAGUUGGAACAAGAACUACAGUCAAAAUCAGCUAACAUGAAAACAGCUGAAGAACAAAUGGUUGAUCAGUUAGAAAACACUAAGAAAGAAUUACAAAUAGUAAAUGAUGAACUGCAGACACAAAAAUCAAAGGUUGCUGAAUUGGAGAAAGAGGUUCAGGCAAGUAGACAGUAUGCUGAGAACCUGGAAAUAGGAUCAUCCAAAAUCCAGGAAUGGGCUACAGAACUGCAGACUGAAUUAGAAACCAUAAAGACAGAGCAAAUUUCUGUUCAGAAUGAAUUAACAGCUGUUAGAGAAGAAUUAUCAUUAAGAAAUAAUAAGCUUGAGAACCUUCAGUUAGAAUUAGAACAAGAGAGGCAGACUGCACAAUCCCUGCAAGCUGAACUAUCUCAUGCUCUCUCCCUUAGUUCACAAAGUGAGAGUGAAGGGAAAGCAGUUUCACUCUCUCAACAGCAGAAAAUCAGCCAGCUGGAAAAUGAACUAUUAUUGGUUUCACAGACUCAUGAUCAGCUGGAGGCAGAAAUUCAAGAAAAAAGUCAACUUCUGCUGAGCCAGACUGAUUUGAGCAUUGAGCUGAAUGAUAAUAUUGAAAGCCUCAAGUCAACCAUUCAUGCAAAAGAUGAAGAAAUACAAACAUUACACAGUUCGUUACUUGAGACUCAGAAGGCAAAAUCUGAACUUGAGAAUUCUCUAAAAGAAAUUAAGGAAACAAAAGAACUAAUUGAGGGUAAUGUAGCAUCACAAAUACCUCCUUCUUAUAUUGGCGAUCAAAAAGAUAGCACAGCAAUAAGCCUGAAAAAUGACCUGACAGAAGCACAAAACCAGUCAAAACUCUUGGAAGCUGAGCGCAUUUCUCUUUGUGCCAAUGUAGAAACUUUAAAACAACAGCUGCAGGAGGCCCGGCAAACAAUCACCCAGCUUCAGACUUCCCUGGGCAGCUCAGCAACACCACAGCCCGAGUGGGAUGACUGGGGGGAGGUAGAUUUAGGCGCACCAGAUUCACAGGAGAUUGUACCCGUUGCAGAAAACACUGACAUUAUCAACCUUAAGAAGUCUUUAGCCGACAAAGAUGAAUUGUUGAGAAUGAUACAAGAACAGCUUAAAGAAGCUUUGCAGCAAGUGAAUACUUUCUCAGAAGAAAAGAAAGUUUUAGAACAGCAACGGAGAAGUGAUGAAGCUACUAUUGUUCAGCAACAGCAACAACUGGAACAAGAUCAGAAUGAAUUAUCUUUGAUGAAAAAACAAUUGGAAAGUCUGAAUGAGGCUCAGAAUGCUUAUGAGCAAGUAAAUCAAAGAAUUUCUGAGCUUGAAGAAAAAUUAGCUGGAAAGCAGCAAGAAAUUGAGGUACUUCAGCAGGAAAUUACCAACAGAGAUUCACAUAGAAAUAUUCAAGACCAACAGCAUCUUCAUACAUCAAAUAAAGAUUCAAUUCAGGAAACAUCCAUUAGUCAUUCCACUGGAGAAGUAAGUGCUGUUUGGCCAUCAAGUGAAAUAGGUGCAGGAGAGGAAGUAAAGCCACCAACAGCUGUGGAAACUCAGGAAGCUACCAUGCAGUGGGAACACCCUACUGGAGAUAAAUCCCUUUCCUUAUUGAGCACAGCAAAUGUAGAAAGCAGUGAACAAGAUCCAGCAAGUUGGUUUGAUCAACAAGCAUUUCCAGUAGCAGACACUGCAGCACCUCAAGAGCCUUUAACUAAACCAUAUCCAGAACAAACCCAGACCCAUUCCCAGCCUCAAGUUGAUAUUGAGGAGAUGCAGUAUAAACUUUCCUGGUAUGAAGAACAGUGGUCCACCUGGACUGGCCAUUACACUCAGUUGCAGACAGCCCAUCAAGAAGCACAGCAGCAGGUUGUUCAAUUAACACAGCAGUUACAAGAACUCCAGCAUUCAGCACCACCUGUGCCUGAAAAAACUACUUCCUGUGAUCCUUUGUCAGAUAAAGAUGAAGAUAUGUUAAAUAAACAAAAACAAAUAGAUGAACUACAGAACAAGCUUUCUGAGAUAGAGGCAACUUAUGAACAACUCAGAGAAGAAAAUUCUAAACUGCAGGAAGAAUUAGAAAAUUUGAAGUGUCUCAAAGCACAAAUCGAUCCAGCAUCAGAUUCAGGUGUAAUCACAUCUCGUUUAGCAGAGGCCGAAGCAGAAGUAGACCGUUUGCGAGGGUUCGAGACUCAAGUAUAUGAACUGCAGAGUCAGGUUCAGGCACUCCAGCAUCAGUGUGAUGCCAUGCAAAACAAAUUAGCUGAAGCAGAAAAUGAAAGGACUCGCCUACAUGAAAUUGAAGUUCUUUAUGGUGAAUUACAGUCUUGCAUACAGGAGUCUGAGACCAAGAGGGAAGGCUCAAAAUCCCGGGUGCAGGAGCUGGAAUUAAUGGUGCAGUCAGCCGAGUCUGAAAUUGCACGGCUUAGAAAUGAAAUUGAGGUGCUUAAUCAAGCCAGUGAGGUUGUGCAAAGUGACAGAGAGAAACUUGAAACAGAUGCCCAGGGUAUGGGAGUGGAGAUGACUAAGUUAGACUGUGAGAUUCAGCACCUGCAGAGUGAGGUGAAAUUAUAUAAAAAGGAAAUAGGAAAACUGCAGAACGAUAAUGAACUGUAUAAAGCUGAAACUCUUAAACUUCAGACUGAAAAUGAUGCAUGUAAAUCUAAUAUGGAUAGAUUUAAACAGGAAAAUGAGAAUCUUCAGGGUGAAAUUGUGGGAAUCAGAAGUCAAUAUCAAAGGUUAGAGCAAGAAAGCAAUCAGUUACGAAGUGAAUUGGAGGUCAUGGAAGGAGAACAUGGAAGACUACAAUGUGAUUACAGUAUCCUUGAAGGAGAAAACAGUAGAGUGAGAGGGGAAUAUGAAGCUCUCUCUCAGGCUAACCAGAUGACUGAAGCUGAAAAAGAGAGUCUUGAGAGUGAAGUACAAAGAAUAACAGCUCAGAACACCACCAUUGCCUCAGAAAAUAAACAUCUACGGGACGAAAUUCAAAGACUAACAGAGGUCAGCACUUCAGCAGAAACAGAGAUCAAUCGUCAGAGAGUAGAAAUUGAGAGGUUUAGAUCACUCGACUCUCAUUAUAGAGAACUAGAAGGAAAAUAUACUGAACUGCAGAGCCAAGUUGCCUCUUUAGAAACUACACCAAGUAGCAAAAAUGUAUCUGCCUCUGAGCCAUAUGAUCUACUAGCAGAAGUUGACUGGAGUGCUGAAGGUAAAAUUGAAGAUGAACAUGUUUUGCAAUCCUCUGCUGACACAAAAUAUCAGGAGGAGAUAGAUUGCCUGAAGGAGAAACUGAUCACAUUAGAAAAGGAGAAGAACAGUAUCUAUGAUGAACUUCAGGCUGCCAAAUUAAAGAGUGGAAAGAUGUUACAAAAGCUGAAACUGACACAGAAUAAAAAUGAAGCUCUAAAUAAGGAAGUACAAAAGUUGAAGGCAAAAGCUGGAGGCUUCUCUGAUUUGGACCAGGCAUUGGAAGAAGAAUGGAAAGCUCAAGUUUCAAAAGCAGAGGCAGAGAGGGAUGAGAUGAAACAAAAAAUUGAUGAAAUGGAAUCUGAAAAAGAGAACUUAGUUAGUCAGAUUGAUGUGCUAACAGCAGCACAAGAGAAAUACUUGGAGCUGAAAGAGGACCAGGACCACACACUACAGCUCCUGAGGACACAUAACAAAGAAUUAGAAGGCCAAGUGCAUGCCUUGGAAUGGAGGGUUUCAGAGUUAGAAGAGAGUCUUGAAGAGCAUCAGAAAACAGAAUCUACAUCUCCAAGCUCUCCUGCUACUGUUCGAGGCACAUUAGAAACUAAGGAACCCACUCCUACACCAGAAGAAGUUGGGACAUUGUCAGAACAAGUCUUAGCCUUACAACAAGAAAUUACAAUCUUGAAGUCUGAAAAUAGCAGGUUAGAAACAUACAACAAAGAACUAGAAGAGAAGAUUGCACAGCUCAGUACUGAUAAUGAUUCCUUCCAGUCUAUUAUACAAAGUCUCAAAGAAGCUAAGACUAAAGCUGAAACAGAUAUCAACAAUUACAAGACAACCUAUAUUGAACUUGAUUCAGAACACACAUCUUUAAAGAAAGAAAAGGAGAAAGUGAAUGAAGAACUUAAAGAGCUCACAUAUGCCCACGACACUCUUGAAGCUGCCUACAACUCCAUGUUCUCUGAGUACAAUGACCUCCGUGAUGUUUGUGACAGCCACAAGCAUGAUGUAGGAAUCCUCAAAGGAGAGAGGGAUCGUCUUGUUGAGGAAGUUGACAGCCUGAAAAAACAGUUAGGAGCUUUACAUGAGGAAGAGGAGGAAGAGAUUAUUCGUGCCUUACAAGAUGAAUGUUUCAGUUUGAGGGAGCAGAAUAACUUGUUGCAUGAGGAGAACACUGCCUUAGAAGUCCAGGCCCAGGAUGCAAAAGAUAAAGCUACACGAGUCGGUUAUGCCUUGGAACAGAACGUUGAGGUGCAGAAACUUCUGCGAGAGGAGUUGACAAAGAAAUCUGAAGAAAUAUCCUUCCACAACACUACCAUCGAUGGGCAAGAUCGCCAGAUUGCCUACAUGAAGGCUGAAAUUGCUGCCAUGAAGUCCAAGCUAGCACAGCAUGACCAGGCUGAGGAAAGCAAUGAGGAGUUGACACAAAGACUUCAGCAGCAAGUCGAACAGUUAGAAGAAGUUAAUCAACAGCUGCAGCUCCAAGUUAAAGCAGCUGAAACUUCCCUCACAAAGUUAGCAAAGCCAGAGCAAGAAGAGGGUGGUGCUGCUUACACUUCUUUAAACACAAACUCGGAACUAGAAGCAGCUCUGGCCUCUUUACACCUGCGUGACUUACGAUGUCAGCAACUCUCCCUUGAGAUAACAAAGUUGCUCGAGGAAAGAGAUGCUUUACAACUGAAACUUAGUGCUUCCUUAAGGCAAACACAGGAGCUUACUCGUGAAUUGAGCUUGAGUCACCAUCUCCCAGCACCUGCCUCUCCUGCACCUUCUCUCCACCAAAAGCUUGCUGAGCUGAGAGAAUUGAAUGAUUCUCUGGAACAGAAAGCUUUAUCCAGUCUACAAGUGGCAUCUUCAAGUGGUUUAGCUCAAAGGGUAUCAGUACCUGGCCUGGCUGCUUCACCUAUGUUUGUGUCUCACACUGCCCCUCCAACUCCAACUGCCACUAGACAUGCUGACUACACACUUACUCGUGAAACCCAAGGGACAUCAUCUACACUCUUUGAUUGGUUGAUGGGGAAAAGCACACCACGGGUGAUGCACGUGUGACAAAGACUGAGGCUGAAUGGAGCACAACGGAAUCAUACAUCUCUGAUCUAAGGAGUCAUCCCCAAUGCAGGAAGAAGAUUACCUUUAUGUAGUACACUUCUUGACUGUAUCACCUUCACCUCUUGUUGCAAAGUGGAAAAGUUCAUUGAAACAUCCCAUAAUAUUUUUUUUAUUUAAGUACUGAAAUACUGAAAUCACUAUCCUUGACCAUUUAGAAUUUAAUAAAAUCAAAUUUAAGAUAAUUCAGCAAAGGUUUUGUAAAUAAACAAUUGCAUUAAAUAUCAUUGUACAUUGUGUCAGUCAAGAUAGCAUUCUAAAUCACUUAUACAGUAAUUAAGAAUAAAGCAAGUAACCUUAAAAACAGGUGCUAUCAAAACAAUGUCUGCCUGGUACCAUAAUAUUUCAAUAUUUUUUUUUUAUGAACACAGUACUAUACAUGUAAUAAUCAAAGUGCUUAAUUAUUAUAACUAUAUUCUAGCAAAAUAACAGACUUCAACUGUCAAUCACAUUGCAUGAUAAUUGUUAUAAUGAAGAGGCUCACAAAAUGUUACUCAUUGCACAAGUUACAUGUCCUUUCGGACAAGAUUUUUCAUAAGCAAUAUAACAGAAAAUAUAGAGGUUUUGACUGACACACACACACAAAAAAAAAAAAAAAGCAAGGAUUAAAAAAAUAUUAACAUCACAUGAAGAGUUAGUACCACAAAUUCUUAUACCACUACACUGGUGUAUUCCUGUUACACACACACACACACACACACACACACACACACACACACACACACACACACACACACACACACACACACUUAUAGCUAUUUGGUAUAUCACAGUGGAAAUGUCUUGAUGAAAAAUUUUGUAACUAGUAAAGUGUCUGUAGUA